UAUGCAUAAAGAAUCUUUAAGUUUGUUUUUUUUAAAGAUCUUACCCCUUUUUUUGGCUCUAUUGUGAGUCUACUCUUGUUUGUUUAGUUUUUGUGGAUUUACUCCUUUUUUUUUAGUUCAUAUUCUGUACAUUUCUACUUAUUUUUGCCCAGAAACCAAACCUCUGUUUUCACAGUUUUCAUUCUCUCCUUUCGUUCCGCACCCAUUAUUUCUGUUGCUUAUUGCUUAGAUCCCAGUCUUUUUUUGUUUGGCAUUUUUCUUUUUUCCCUUCUAAAAUAAUCAACUCUGUUUUCAGAUAUUAAACAAAGACGAUAUAUGCUUCCUCUUAUGAUAGAAAUCGGUCUACUUGUAUUGCAGCAGCUAAGUGGAAUCAAUGGCAUCUUAUUUUAUGCUGGCGCUAUUUUUAAAUCUGCUGGUAUGUCCAAGUAAUUCAAAUUUGAUUUGUCUUC